rnacentral:rRNA from 1 species
CACGUGGGUAACCUGCCCUAUGCUGGGGAAUAACCUCGCGAAAGUGAGAAUAAUACCCCAUAGUUCACUACGCCUGGAACGGUGAGUGGAUGAAAGCCCCGGCGGCAUAGGAUGGGCCUGCGGCGUAUCAGGUCGUAGGGGGUGUAACGUACCCUCUAGCCAUCGACGCGUACGGGUGUUGGGAGACAUAGCCCGGAGAUGGAUUCUGAGACACGAAUCCAGACCCUACGGGGUGCAGCAGGCGCGAAAACUUGGCAAUGCGAGAAAUCGUGACCAGGGAACUCCAAGUGGCUGGGGUAAGACCCAGUCUUUUCUUGACUCUUCAAAGGUCUUGGAAUAAGAGGUGGGUAAGGACGGUGCCAGCCGCCGCGGUAAUACCGGCGCCUCAAGUGGUAGUCGAUUUUAUUGGGCCUAAAACGUCCGUAGCCUGUUUGGUACAUUCGUGGGUAAAUCAACCAGCUUAACUGGUUGAAUUCUGCGAGCACGGCCAGACUUGGGACCGGGAGAGGUGUGGGGUACGCUCAGGGUAGGGGUAAAAUCCUGUCAUCCUGAGCGGACCACCUGUUGCGAAGGCGCCACACUAGAACGGAUCCGACGGUCAGGGACGAAGCCUAGGGGCACGAACCGGAUUAGAUACCCGGGUAGUCCUAGGUGUAAACGCUGUGGACUUGAUGUUGGGAGUGCUCCGAGCACCCUCAGUGUCGAAGCGAAGGUGAUAAGUCCACUGCCUGGGGAGUACGGUCGCAAGGCUGAAACUUAAAGGAAUUGGCGGGGGAGCACCGCAACCUGAGGAUUGUGCGGUUUAAUUGGAUUCAACGCCGGAAAACUCACCAUGGCCGACUGUUAGAUGAAGAUCAGCGUAAUGAGCUUAUCGGAUUUUCAGAGAGGUGGUGCAUGGCCGUCGUCAGUUCGUACUGUAAAGCGUUCUGUUAAGUCAGAUAACGAACGAGACCCUCAUCCCUAUUUGCUAAGGUUUCUCCCUUCGGGGCGAGAUCACAGGACUAUAGGGAGACCGCUGGCGAGAAGUCAGAGGAAGGUGAGGGCAACGGUAGGUCAGUAUGCUCCGAAUGCACUGGGCUACACGCGCAAUACAAAGGACGGGACAAUGG